rnacentral:piRNA from 1 species
UGCGACAAAACAGAAAGAACAC